GCUACACAUCAACAUUAGAUAACUAGAGACCCUUCCCCUAUAAAAAAUACACAAAGAACAAAAACGGUGGACCUUUCUGGUCUUUGAAGGACAAAAUGAAAGGAGCAACAACCUUUCUUCUUCUUCUCUAUCAAUCAGACUGAUCUCUCACCCUCAUCAUUGCACACUCACACCCGCAGGGAAAAUACUCUGUAAUUUAAAGAAGAUCUGAAGAUCAAAGACCAAGACAAGAGAUAGACAGUUAUUAUGAUUUCUACUAUAUCACUUUAACAAUAUUUUGGGAUCUCAAAGCUAUUUUUUCAAGCUGAAAUCUGAAGCUAUUUGUUCUUUAUUUCUGGAUCUUUGAUAAUUAUUAACUGAGCUCGCUUCCAUUUCUUCUUCCUCUAUUUGGUUUUUCAUCACUUUGCAUUUGCAUGAAUCGUAGGUACACACAGAAUCCUUAUACUCUUAUUCAGUUCUAUAUAAUCUAUUUAUGAAAUUGUUAAACAUGUUGAAUGAUUCUGUUGAGCCUUGAUUUCCUACUCCAAUGUGUUUCUUGAAAUGUUCUCUUACUGCUCAAUUCGUUUGGAUCAUGAGCUAGUGAAAAACCUUGAUUGAAAUUCAUUAACUAAAAUAACACGUGGUAGAAUCUGCAUAUUUCUCUAUAUAUCAAUUCAGAUUAUCAUGCUUUCGAAUUAGGGUCCAAAGUAUUUUGUUCAAGGCACUCAGUUUGAGGUUUUUUUUCAUUAUUUAUAAGGAGUUGACUACUUUGUGGAUAACAAGACAAAUU
rnacentral:lncRNA from 1 species